GGAGACGUUACGUAAAAUGGUAGACCAAAAGAUUUUAGAGAGAAGAAAAAUGGUUCAUUAUGCAGUCUCUGUCAUUUGCCAGGUCAUAACAAGGCGACAUGUAGUCUGAAUGAGAAGUAAGUUCUACAUUUUUUUGUCAUGUUUCUAAUUAGAUUUUACCGACUAUAUUUUUCCACACAGUUCUUUAUAUUUCUGUCAGGAAUCAGGCAUAAAGAAGUAGCUUUGAUCGUGGGAAGAAGAAAUUUGUUUGGACGAGUCAUGUUGGAAUAAUCUAUGUGAACAUGUGUGCGGUCCGAGAAAACAUUAUAAGUGUUUUGUUUAUGUUUUUCAAAAUAUUCUUGUGAACAUCUAUGACAUGCAUUGAAUUAAGUUGUCAUGUCUUUUGUAAGAACGAGUUUACAGUUUUAAUAUACUUUUUAUUUUGUUAGUCAGUGCUUAAUGAACAUUACUGACUGUACUUUUAAUAUACUGUUUAUCUUGUUAGUUGGUGAUUAAUGAACAUUACUCACUACAGAUUCGGGCCUUUAAAAAAAUAUCCAACCAGCAGCUGGACCUGUAGUAGCUAAAUUCUUC
rnacentral:lncRNA from 1 species